rnacentral:lncRNA from 1 species
GAUGCUGACGCAGAAUGGAGUUGAGGUGGGGGCAGCGCUGGACCCUAGGGCCCCUGCCUGCCUCCUGGGGAGCCCGGUGACCCAGGCAGCCCUGGUGAGGCCGCAGGAGUCUGGGCCCUAGCGACGCCCCCGGGCUCCCACAGGACGAAUGUAGACGUCCCAGCCGCGGCCCCUUUAAGAGGGGGUGGUGCUUCAGCCUGGCGCCAGGGACGCUGCCAGCAUGCAGGCCCCGACGGAAGCCGAGACUGCGCUUCGUGCGAGGCCCGGGCAGCAUCGGCGGCGUGGUCAGAGCGAGUCUCGGAGAAGAUGUGGUGGCUUCCGUUUGUUGGUGGAGGAGGUGGCAGGCCUCGGCGGGUAACCCAGAGAACACAGCCGAAGUGGAAUGUGGGGACGUCUGCGACACCGGGGACAGAGCAACUGUGGAUGAAGAGGGCUACAUCUGGUUCCUGGGGAGGAGUCAUGACACUAUCAAUGCCUCUGGGUGGUGAAGGCAUUGAUUGUCCUGACCCCACAGUUUCUGUCCCAUGACAAGGACCAGCUGACUAAGGAGCUGCAGCAGCAUGUAAAGUCAGUGACAGCCCCAUAAUGAAUACAACCAAUCAAGACAGAUAACGCCAAGUGCUGGAGAGGAGGUGGAGAAAUCGAAACCCUCAUACACUGCCAGUGGGAAUAUAAAAUGGUGCAGCCACUUUUUUGGAAGAUAGUAUGUCAGUUUCUUAAAAUGUUAAAAAUAAAACUGCUUUAAACCCAGCAACUUUACUUCUAGGUAUCUACCCAGGGAAAAUAAAAAUGUAUGUCGACACAAAGACUUGUAUGUGAAUAUUCACAACACCAUUCACAAGAAUCGAAAGGUGGAGACAACUCAAAUGCCCAUCUACUGACAAAGGGAUUAAAAUGUGGGAUAUACAAAGGAAUACUACUCAACAAUCAAAAGGAAGUUCUGAGGCACACUACCACAGUGGUCACCCUCAACAACACAAUGCUUCAUGAAAGAAGCCAGAUGCAAAACAACACACAUUGCAUGAUUCAGUUUAUAUGAAAUGUCCAGGACAGCCUCGUAUAGGGACAGAAAGCAGAUUACUGGUUGUCGAGGGCUGGGAAUAAGACUGAAAAGUGACUCUGAUAGGCACAAGUUUCUUUCUUGGGAUGACAAAAUGUUCUAAAACUAGAUUUCGGUGAUGGUUACAUAAUUCCAUAAAUAUACUAAAUAUACUAAAAAUCGUUGAAUUGGACCAGGCACAGUGGCUCACACCUGUAAUCCCAGCACUUUGGGAGGCCAAGGCAAGAGGAUCACUUGAGCCCAGGAGUUCAAGACCUGUCUGGGAAACAUAGAGACUCCAUCUCUACAAAUAGUUUUUUUAAAAUUAAACAGGUGUGGUGGCACAAGCCUGUAGUCUCAACUACUCAAGAAGCUGAGGCAGGAGGAUCACCUGAUCCCAGGAGGUUGAGGGUGCAGUGAGCCAUGAUAGCACCAUUAUGCUCCAGCCUUGGUAUCAGAGUGAGAUCUUGUCUCUCACACACACACACAAAAAUCAUUGAAUUGUACACUUAAAAUAGGUGAAUUUUAGUAUGUAAAUUAGACCUCUAUAAAGCUGUUAAUUUUCUUAAGGUUUUUUUUUUUUCUUUUUUCUUUUUUUUUUUUUUGAGACAGAGUUUUGCUCUUAUUUCCCAGGCUGGAGUGCAAUGGCACGAUCUCAGCUCACUGAAACCUUCGCCUCCCAGGUUCAAGCGAUUCUCCUGCCUCAGACUCCCAAGUAGCUGGGAUUACAGGCUCCUGCCAUGAAGCCCAGCUAAUUUUUUGUAUUUUUAGUACAGACAGGGUUUCACCAUGUUAGCCAGGCUGGUCUCGAACUCCUGACCUCAGGUGAUCCACACACCUCAGCCUCCCAAAGUGCUGGGAUUACAGGCGUGAGCCACUGCACCAGGCAAUUUUUUUAAGUUUUAAAAUUACAAUAUUUACCCCUAGCACCAAGAUUGUCUCAAAAUACCACUAAAAGAAAACAAGCCUUCCUGGAGAGAGUGCUGAUUCCAGGUCUAGGCCAGAAAUGUAUAAGAUAAGCCUGGAACACUGUCACUCUGGAUAGCAAGGAAUCUAUCAAAGAUUAGGAUGCUUUCAACACGUCUGAAGAGCCAAUCUGAAGGGACUCCUUCUAACCAAAGAUAGGACAUUUUAUACAUUAAUAAGGAUAAUAAUUGCAGUGGAUUGAAAUACAUCAAAUGUGUUUGAAUGUCUGCAUUCAUAAUGAUUCUUUAUAAAAAAUAAAAGUGGGUUGGCCAGCCACAAGGGCUCAUGCCUGUAAUCCCAGCACUUAGGGAGGCCAAGGCAGGAAGAUCACCCGAGGUCAGGAGUUCGCAACCAGCCUGGCCAACCUGGUGAAACCGCAUCUCUACUAAAAGUACAAAAUUAGCUGGGUGUAAUGGUGCAUGCCUGUAAUCCCAGCUACUCAGGAGGGUGAGGCAGGAGAAUCACUUGAACCCAGGAGGUGGAGGUUGCAGUAAGCCGAGACCUCGCCAUUGCGCUCCAGCCUGGGCAACAGAGCAAGACUCCAUCUCAAAAAAAAAGAAUAAAUAAAUAAAUAAAUGUGGGCUGGGGACAGUGGCUCAUGCCUUUGGGAGGCCGAGGCAGGAGAAUCACUUCAGCCCAGGAGUUCAAGACCAGCCUGGACAACACAGGGGGACCCUGUCUCUACAAAAAAUGUUUUAAAUUACUCAGGCUUAAGGGCCCAUGUCUGUGGUCCCAGGUACUCAGGAGGCUGAGAUGGGAGGAUUGCCUGAGCACAGAAGUUUGAGGCUGUGGUGGCAUGAUUGUCCCACUGCAUGCCAGCCUGAGCAACAGAGCUAGACCGUCCCUGUCUAAAUAAAUAAACAAAUAAAAGUAGUCACCAUCAAAGGAUAUAAAUGAAGCAGACCAUCAUUUUGAAAAAUGGUAAACAAAAAGAACAAAUCAAGCCACUAACUGGCCUUUUCUAUAUAAAUUGUACAACUGGGUAGCACAAUAAUUUAUAAGAAGCUGCAUCUCUUUUUUAUAUUUACUUUUUUUUCUUCAUGGAAGGCCCUUCUCAGGGUAGCAAUAUUUCUUUCUGGAAGUAUGGCAGCUCAUAAAUGAAGAAGGAAUGAUAUAACAAUACCAUCAUUGUUCAAUCCAUAAUUGAUCACUGGCUGUUAACAUUAUAAAAAAAAAAAGGUGGCCAGAGAGUACACACCUCCUGCUGGAAGAACUUAGCACAGUCUUUUUGCCUUGACCCCUCAAAUCCAACAUGAAUCUGAUCAAGCUUUCAGAUCAAACUACUAAUUUAUCAAAACUAGAACAAAGUGAAGAACAAGUUAAUCAACAUCACAAGGAUACAAUUAGCCAAAUUCAAACUACCAGAAAUAGCAUAAUGAGAAUACAGUUAGCAUAAUCCAAACUAUGGGGAAACUGCCUAAUUUAUUAAAUAAACUGCAAGAGACAAAAAAGAGAUCAAGUGGGGAAGCUUUCAGGAUCAAAAAAAAGCUAAGAUACGAAUGAAGCAAUCCAAAAGAGAGACUUUAUUUGGAUCCUGAUUCAAACAAACAAAAAAAAUAUGAAAUUACUGGAAAUUUGGAGCUAGCAGGGGAGUUGACAAUAUUAAAGAGCAAUGGUGUGGGAUGGUUGGUUGAACAUGGUAUUGGGAUUAUGUUUUUAAAAGAGUUCUUGUCACCAGGAAAGUGGUUCAUACCUGUAAUCUCAGUAUUUUGGGAGGCCGAGGCAGGAAGAUCAUUUGAAGCUGGGAAUUCUAGACCAGCCGGGCAACAUAGCAAGACCCUGUCUCUACUAAAAUAAAAAUUAAAAAUUAGCUGGGCAUGGGGGUGUGGGUCUAUAGUCCCAGCUACUUAGGAAGCUGAGGCAGGAGGGGUCAAGGCCACAGUGAGCCAUAAUCGUGCCACUGAAUUCCAGCCCGGGCGACAGAGGCCUUGUCUUGAAAGAACAAAACAAGAAUCCUUAUCUUUUACAGACAUAUACCAAGACAUUCAGGGAGGAAAUUAUAUGAUAUGUGGGAUUUGCUAUAAAAUAACGAGAGGAAGAGGAGAAGCAUGCAGGAGUGUACAUGAAACAAGAUUGGCCACGAGAUGACAAAUAUCUGAAUCCGCUGAUGAGUAGGUGAAAGCUCACUACGCUAGCCUCUUGUUUAAAAUGCUCCAGAAUAGAAAGUGUGUCUGAAAAUCCACUUCAUGGGUUUGUAGCAAGCAUUGAAUAAGAUCAUGUAUACAGAGUGCUUUAUAACCAUGGCUUACAGGUAGUCAGUACACAUUGUUUUUAGUUUUGUAUACUCCCCGUCCAUUAAUCACAUCCAAAAAAGGUAUGUUAUUCACACUAAGAGCUCUGGCCCAUGGACCUUUGUCCACUUGGUGGUAAUUUAUUGAAAUUUGGGGUUUAGAAUGAGGAAAUGCCAGCCUUCAGAGCCCCAGGCUUACUAUGCAACAGCAAAGCCAACAGUCCCAAAUGCCUUCCUAGCACACCUAGUAAGUAGGAUCACUUUCCUCUCACCUUGUAGGCAUACUUGAGUUCAUUCACUCAUUCAUUCACUAUUUUUCAUUCAUUUCUUAUGUGCCAGGUAUUGGGUGUUAGGAAUCCAUAAUACAGUGAACCCAUAAUUGACUGCAAGCAUCACUUUCAAAGCAUCAUUUCAGGAUGAGAAUUUAAGUGCCAAGUGAAUUCAAGGAACAGUGCAAAGGAUCCAUGGCCUCAGUCACCAUGAAGACCCUCCCAAGAGCCAGCCCUACUGGGCACAUAUAAAUGAGUGGAGACCUGGAAUUCACCCUUACAAAGCCUAGAACCUGACAGAGCACACAAGACAAAAGCCCAAAUAACCAAGAACAGGGAGCAGAAUGUGAGAGGUGGGCCCCAAAGGAUUCAGCCACCAAGGUGGAGAAAGUAAUGUGUGCAGAGUGGGGAGUAGUCAGGUUUGGCUGAAGCAAGCAGGCAUUUGGGGAGAGGUGGAAACUGAGGCUGGAAUGGUCUCCUAGGGCCCUGUAUGGAGAAGGUCAGGUUCAGGCAUCUGAAUCCCAUUCAGUAGCAAGAGAGUCACUCCAUGGUGCCAAGCAAGGGCUAACAGGCUUAGGACAAGAUUCAGGAAGAGGCCUCUUGCAGCAAGUGGUCAAGCCCAGGGACCACUCAUGGAAGGCCUAUCCCCGCCUGGCACUGCACCUUCAAGUUCACAUCACAUGGCCAUGUGCACAUUCAUACACAACCAUGUGCAUGUUCACACACAGUCAUAUGCAUGUUCACACAACCAUGUGCAUGUUCACACACGACCAUGUGCAUGUUUACACGUGGCCACAUGCAUGCUAAUGCACAAUCAUAUGCAUGUUCACACAUCACCAUGUGCACAUUGAAACAUGACCAUAUGCAUUUUCACAUGCUCAGUGACUCACAGAUUCAUAAGACCUGAGACGGACGUGCAUUUUGGGAGAUCCAACUUUAGGAUAUGGGCUCACUGUCUCAGCACAUGCAGACCAGGCCUGAACUCUAUUCAAGAAAGCUGCCUGCCAGUUUAUAGCAGGGGUUAGCAAACCUUUUCCAUGAAGAGCCAGUUAGGAAAUGUUUGAGGCUUUGCAGAACAUGUGGUCUCUUGCAACUACUCAACUCACUAAAGCAACAAUGGACAACACAUCCGUGAAGAAGCAUGGCCGUGUUCUGGUAAAACAAAACUUGGCUGCAGUUUGCCCAUGCCCAGCCUAGAGUUUGUAGCCUCUUCCCAGAGAGAGGGAAUCUGACAGAUUCCCAAAUCUGUCAGAGACUAGGAAGUCUCCUUCAGAAGGACACCCCUCCAAGCCUGAGGAUCCAUCCACCCACAGGAGGCCUGGCACAACUCAUUCCCCACUCAGCUUGGUGCAAGCUAACCCUAUCAGGCCCUGCCACUGUUAUCCUUGCUGACCACCCCCAGUGUCCUCUCAAGUGGAGGCUGCCUGCUUCUCAUGUCCUCCGCCACAGGGUCAGGCACUGCACCCACCCCUUCCAGCCCCACAGGAGCCCCUCUCCCCAGCCCUGGCCUGCUGCCACCCGACCCCCUCACCAGGGAGCCCCUGCACAUCCAGUUGAGCCCAGAUGGCAUUCCUUUAGGAAACCUCCUCGACACUCCGAAGUCCAGAUCGCAGGCCCCACCUGGAAUGCUCUCCUUGCAGCCUGUUCGAAGACUCAUGAGACCGUGCUGCACACUGGACUUCAACCAUGAGCUUCACCGUCUGUCUCUUCCUUCACUACCUUCGCUCUGCACUAGGCCAUAAGCUCUGUAGGAGAAGGAACUCAUCACAGUGCCUGCCCCAGACAGGUUGUUCAUAAGCACGUAUUGAAAUAUAGAAUUCCCAGGCACCUCCAACAGAGAGACUGGACCUUGUGAGACCCAACAAGAAGCCAGUAUUUCAGAACUGAUGAAAAAUAGCAAGGAUCUAGAUUAGGGGGUAUAGUGGGAAUGAAAUGGGGGACUGGGUGAUGCCCCAUAUUUGUCAACGACUCAUAGUCUUUCUCCAGAGAUGUCUUCCUCCCCUGUGUUCUUUGUCUCAUCAGCUGCCACCAGCACUCACUCCAGCCACUAAAGCCAGAAAGUUGAAAGACCUCUGCCCUCAUCCGGCCCAGCCCCCAUCCAGCCAAAGACCUGUCAUUUCAACCUCACGCCCACCCCGCUUUCCACUCCCACUGCUCCUGCCUUAGUUCAGACCACCACCGUCGCUCUCCUACCCAGUUCAAGCCAAGCUGACCUGGCCAGUGGCCUUCAGGCCUUCCCUUCUCCAUCCUGCCAUGUCCAUCCUCCACAGGCAGAACAGGAAGCUGUCAUGUAAAAGUGCAGGUCUGCUUUGGUCCUUCUCCUAAACCCUUCAGUGGCUUCCCGGUUCCCUUUGGGUCCUGGUACAGAUUCCUUAGCAUGGCCAGGGAGGACAGCCCUCCAUGAUCCUCCCCUCCCUGAGAUGUUCCUCCUGCCCCAGCACCCUGUGUUUGAGCCCAAGCCCGCCCUGUGGUGUCACGGGAGGCCCAGCUCCUCUGCCUGGGGUGCCUUGCCUGGCCUAGGAACUGGGAAAACUUACCUGCUUCCAAGACUCAGCUCUAGCACCUCUUCCUGCUGGGUGUUUUCCGAUGCCCCCCCUCUCGCCACCUCAUGGGGACCCCACAGUCCCCUGAAGAGCCUUCUGCCCCAGUGCCUCACCCCACUCUUUAGACCUGUUUCUGUUUCCAUGGCUGCCUUGCCUUCUUAGACCACGGGCUCCUGCAGAGCGGGACCCCAUAUCUCAGUCGGCUUUGCAUUCCCAGUGCCUGGCCGAAACUGAGGCUGGAAUGGUCUCCUAUUCCAUAAGCUCUCAAUAACCCUUGAAAAAUGACUGGAAUCCUGGACAGCGCCAAGGCAGCAACUGGGAUGGGAGAGUGAUCUGCUGCCCUCUCCUGGCAAUGUGAGGAAUUGUCCUAAGCACAGACAACUCCCUCCCUGCCUUGCACAAGUGCAGGAUGGGGGAAACUGGAAAAGGAGCUGAUGGAGGAUUGGGGAGGUGGAUGCUGUCUAAGGAGACAAACUGAAUUGAGGGGUUGCUGGGACUCGGCCGGCUCACAUGCUAUUCCCAUGUCAUGGGCCCAGGGGCCAAGUCAGUGCUUCCAAAGGAGGGUGCAUCCUGAGAGAGGCUCUGGCUCCCCCAACAAAACCCUAAACUCUUGAAGGACAUCUUCCUUCUCAGUAUACCCUAUUGCUGUGUUGUUGUAACUAUCACUGUAACUUUUAUUCACUUCAGUGGGCGAUCACUGAGUUUUUCCUCCAUUGUUGUAAAACAUGUGUUUUGCUCUUGUGUGUAAAAUGAC